CCGCAAAGCCUUCUCCUCGGGGCUAAGGUGAGUGAGCCGCUGCCUUUUCCUAUGGACGUGGCCGGCCGCCGGCUGAACCGGGGACGAGUCGUGUUGCGAGCCGCUCCGGGGCGGGUACACCACCGAGAUGUGUCGACUGAUCUCCAGGCCGUUCUGCUUCCCACCCCCGGGGAUCAGCAGCACCUUGGCGGACCCGGCGCUGUUCAUCGCCACCAUCACGCCGUUACAAUGUAUCGGAGCCACUUGAACACUGAUACCGCCAGCACUGGGGUGUCACAUGAACCUGCAGGAGGAAGUGCGUUUACAUUGGGUGCGUUCGCUCCCUCCGACACACAGUCUGUUCAGAAACGGCUCUCGGGGGGUCAAUUUCAACCAUCGUGUUUAAAUAUUAUUGGCUGAGCAGCCUGUGCAUCACUGAACAGACGCAGUCCUAUUGGGUCACACUGGCUUCACUGACACCAGGCUGUUCCCCAGUGAGGAAGGUUGGCUGAUCAGAGGAACGAAAGCAAAACACUACAUGGAGGAUGAGAGCAGCGCUGGCUAGGCCGGCAUUUAUUUCCCACCCGUAAUUACCCACAGUGCUGUUAAGAGUCAACCACAUUGCUGUGGGUCUGGAGUCACAUGUAGGCCAGCGCAGAUAAUUAAAGAGAAGCUUCCGUCUCCAUUCUUCUCCUCUUCUGAAUAAUUUGGCUUUUGGUUCCCAGACACACAGCUGCCGAAAAAAAUAAUCAAAGAUCUGUGAAUUUUCAAUAUUAGCUUGCCGAAACUGACCAUACCCACGAAACCAACAAAUCAACAGUUUAUUCUCCAGCAUCUGCAGUUCCCAUUAUCUCUAUCCCCAAAUCAACAGUGACGUCUGGUUCAACCAAUCGACCUCAAAGAGAACAAAAGGACUGCAAAAUGAAUAUUCUUUUAUCUUGCUAUGUAUUGGACAAUAUUCUCCUCUAACUUUGUAUAUGUACGCAGGAAAGUUGUCUGCUUCGACCGGUGUUUCAUUAU